rnacentral:rRNA from 1 species
UGAGUCUUCUGGUCGGGGAACGGUAGGAGCACGACGGAAUCCGAUAUCUUUUCCUCCGGUGCGCCUAGAGGUCCUAGUUAUCCGAGCAAGCUAGCCUCAUCAUUAAUUCGGUCUUCAACUGGUUCCUCGAGCGUGAUAGUUCCCCGUGCUCGUGCGCGCGCCUGGUUCCCGAUGAUAUCCGACAACAACCAGUCGGUCGAGAGGAAGGCCAAGGCCGUGCCGGUUAAGGUUCUACCUCUACCACUUUCGUACGUACGCCGGACGGCGGAGGCGCAGGAGCGCCGGGGCGCACGAGCACGAGCCGCCCUGACCGGCACAGCCGCCGAGUUGCCGGUGGCGCGAGAGGGUCAAGGCCGAGCUGGAGUUGUAGGAGUAGCCGCCUUCCUUGGCCCUCUUUCCACACGACGACCAUAGAUUCGAGCCUGUCGCUAGACUUAAGCAGGUGCAACUAUAAGUGUUAAGUUCGUCCGACUUUCUCCACAACCUCCCGCACCUAAACCACUAAGUACGGCGACCUGGUAAGGUCUCCCUACUGUUUACGUGUCAGGACGUCCGUCGUCAUAAAUGGUUCUGUCCCAUGUGACUAUAGACGGUACCUCACCUGAUAAGUACCUCCCGUUUUAGAAAGGUACUUGUUCGUUUUCGAAGGCCGCAGGGUCGAGAGUAUUGACGUCCCUAUAGAGGACCUCACUCGUUACCAUGUCCACCACGUCCGGGUUGAUGCAACCCGUGUUCGAACAAUGAAGAACCCCUCCUACAUUAACGGAUACUAUUUCCCUCGCUUUAGUUUGAUUUUCGGAUGUCACCUCGAGCGUUGUAACUAAAACCUUUUCCCUAACCCUUCUUUAUACAAAUGAACUACUUGAAUGGCCUCCACUUCUCGUGUGUGUUUUUGAAUCCAGACGGUUGACAAGUACGAGUUAAACCAAGUCUAGGAAAGUAGACCUUAACCCCUUACCUUUGCAAGCGUUUGAAGAACGGAAGACUGGAGAACUCUCUAUUUUUACAGUGAGAUUUCAAACGACUCACACAACUGGGAAAGUAAGCUCAAUAACUACCCUAACAUCCUCUCGCACAGCGGUACUCUUAACUAGAGCUUUCAAGUUUACCCGUGUGGUGAUGACCUAAUAAACGAGUGUUGUUAGAUAGGCAUAGUCACCCGAUACGUCGCCGGCGUAAACGAGAUCGUCAAGAUCUUCCGUCGUGUUUCGGUCCCCAAACCAAAGGUCUUCUCGGUCUCCCUUAUCGAUAACUACGUUCCUUCGAGAACGAGGCUGCCCGUAGAGCUCCUCAUUGCUUGAAGUGUUACUUGUUCUUAAGGCCCUACUAUCUUACGACUAGUAUACCUUUACUUAGGGACCCAGUAUCUUACGACUAUUAUACCACUACUACCUUCAAUAUCGAAGUAGUUUGAUAACAUGAGAAGGGGACAUUAGGGGGGAGAGGGAGUUACAUUGAGACUUGAUACAAGACCCGAUAAGCCAACCAUUAUUUCAAGUCCGUCCGCAUUCGGGCGGCAACUGCGCAUUUUCUUUUUAC